rnacentral:rRNA from 1 species
GACGAACGCUGGCGGCGUGCUUAACACAUGCAAGUCGAACGGAAAGGCCCUGCUUUCGUGGGUUGCUCGAGUGGCGAACGGGAGUGUAACACGUGAGUAACCUGCCCUUCACUUUGGGAACACUUCAGGAAACUUGGGCUAAUACUGGAUAGGUGCUCCUGCUGAUUGUAGGGGGUUGGAAAGUUUCGGCGGUUGGGAAUGGACUCGCGGCGUAUCAGCUUGUUGGUGGGGUAUUGGCUUACCAAGGCUUUGACGGGUAGCCGGCCUGAGAGGGGGACCGGCGACAUUGGGACUGAGAUACGGCGCAGACUCCUACGGGAGGCAGCAGUGGGGAAUAUUGCACAAUGGGCGGAAGCCUGAGGCAGCAACGCCGCGUGCGGGAUGACGGCCUUCGGGUUGUAAACCGCUUUCGCCUGUGACGAAGCGUGAGUGACGGUAAUGGGUAAAGAAGCACCGGCUAACUACGUG